rnacentral:rRNA from 1 species
UACGGAAGGGGCAAGCGUUGUUCGGAAUCAUUGGGCGUAAAGGGCGCGUAGGUGGUUCUGUAUGUCUAUCGUGAAAGCGUACGGCUCAACCGUAUUUUGUCGGUAGAAACUGCAGGACUUGAGGCUGGGAGGGGCUGGUGGAAUUCCCUGUGUAGCGGUGAAAUGCGCAGAUAUCGGGAAGAACACCUAUGGCGAAGGCAGCUCUCUGGGACGGUACUGACGCUGAGACGCGAAAGCGUGGGGAGCGAACAGG